UACGUAGGGGGCUAGCGUUGUCCGGAUUUAUUGGGCGUAAAGAGCGUGUAGGCGGCCAGGUAGGUCUGCUGUGAAAACUCGAGGCUCAACCUCGAGACGUCGGCGGAAACCAUCUGGCUAGAGUCCGGAGGAGGAGAGUGGAAUUCCUGGUGUAGCGGUGAAAUGCGCAGAUAUCAGGAGGAACACCGGUGGCGAAGGCGGCCCUCUGGACGGUGACUGACGCUGAGGUGCGAAAGCGUGGGGAGCAAACAGG
rnacentral:rRNA from 1 species